CUCUCACAUACUUCCUGAGGCCAGAGACUCGGGCUGUGGUUUUGACUGUGGCUCAGGCCCACACCGAGGCCAGUUCCCUUCCUUGAAUGGUGGGCUUUGCUCUCUGUCAAGCUCACUCCUCUCACUAGAACCGAUGCAUCCUGGGCCUUUUGCGAGCACUCUUGACUUCCUGCAUCCUGAUCCUAGCAACAUGCUCUGUCCUGACCUUGGCCUGGACCAGGAGCUGGGAGGCCUAGACUCUGCUGACCAUGGCAAGGAGCAAACACUCAGAACCUCAAGAUCCUCACCUCCAAAAUCAGGGUUUAUGCUAGCACAGCAAUUCUCAAAGUAUGGCCCCCAGACAGCGGCGUCAGGACCACCUGGAACUUGUUACAGGAACAGAUGCUCAGGCCCCACCCAGACCUACUCAUCAGAACCUAAGGGAGGCAGGGGAGAGGAGCCCAGAAGUCAGUUUUUAACAUGGUCUUCGGGCAGGACUGGUGCAGGCUAAGGGUUGAGAACCACUGAACUGGAAGAUCUCUAAAAUUCCUGCCAGGGAGGAUAAACCUACCAGACGUGUGGUCAUUAUGGUGGGUAUUAUUUAUGAAAUAACUUCAAUGUGCCCAGCUCUUUGCAAACAUUGUCUCUAUAACAACCCUCUAAAGUAGGUGUCAUUAAAUGUAUUUUCCAUGGGAAUGAAAUGAGGCCCAGAGAGGUUAAGUAACUCACGAAAGGACACACAGCUGGAGACAAGCAGGAGGAAGCUUUGCCCCCCGGCCGCCUCAUUGCGUGCUUCCCCACCACUCCACCUGGGCUACCACACUGAUGAGGGCCUGGCCCCCUGUCAGCAUUCUGUGGAGGUUGCUCACUUUCUGGUGGUCCUGCGACCUGCUCUUCCCACCUUAACAACUUGCCAGCCUCCCUCCCUGCCCUCCCUAUUACAGUACCUUCCAGCUCGGCCCCUCCUCCCACCCUCAGUCCAACGCCAAGUCCUGCCCUCCUCCGACUUCCAUGGCAAUGAACAGAGUCAUCACAACCGGUCCACAGGUCGACACCACAGUUGGAGCCAACUUGGCUCCUAGGGGAAAGAGACCAGGCCUAAGUUCAAGCCUGUGAUGGUCUGAAAAAGCACAGCCUCUCCCCUCACAACGUCCUCUAACAGAAAAGCCUCCUGCAGGACAUGACAGCUGGGCAGAAGGAGGCUGGGAAUGGGGCAGGAGAAAACCACAGCGGGACAGAGUGUGAGAAUGGAUCAUCACACAGUGCAGGCCUAUGGAGACAAAUCCAAGCUGAGGCUCAAGGAAAAGAAACACAAAUUGGAAAUCAGGCCUGAGACCUGAUCAUGCAUGAGCAUCAGAGUCUUUUCCAACGUGUCAACUGUUCGCAUGAGGUGGCCAAAGUACUGGAGUUUCAGCUUUAGGAUCAUUCCUUCCAAAGAAAUCCCAGGGCUGAUCUCCUUCAGAAUGGACCGGUUGGAUCUCCUUGCAGUCCAAGGGACUCUCAAGAGUCUUCUCCAACACCACAGUUCAAAAGCAUCAAUUCUUCGGUGCUCAGCCUUCUUCACAGUCCAACUUUCACAUCCAUACA
ensembl:lncRNA